GACGAACGCUGGCGGCGUGCUUAACACAUGCAAGUCGAACGAAGUGGCGAACGGGUGAGUAACGCAUAAUCAACCUGCCCUUCAGAGGGGGACAACAGGUGGAAACGACUGCUAAUACCGCAUACUGAAGGAGGGGAGUGCGUCGGAUUCGCUUGUUUGGGGGGUAACGGCCCACCAAGGCGAGAAUCAGUAGGCGGUCUUGGGAGACGAACGGGCCAAAUGGGACUGGGAAACGGCCCCGACUCCUACGGGGAGGCGCCGGUGGGAAUUUUCGGCAAUUGGGGGAAGCCUGACGGCGCACAGCCGGGGGAGGGAUGAAGGCCUUCGGGGUUUAAAGGUAUUUUAAUCGGGAAGCGGUACCGGAAGAGAAAGCCACGGCUAACUACGUGCCAGCCGCCGCGGUAAUUC
rnacentral:rRNA from 1 species